UCAAAAGCAUGGUCUACAUAAAGCUAUGGGAGGCCUGGUUGAAACAACCUUUUACAGAAUGAUUGUAGGGAGUCUUCAAUACUUGACUCUCACAAGACCAUAUAUUACUCAUGUUGUGAAUUUAGCAAGCCAAUUUUAUUCAAAACCCGAACAGUCAAGGAGUGAAAAGAAUUCUCAGGUAUACAUCAAAGGCACUCUGCACUUUGAACUUAGACUUAUUUCACAAUCACCAUGUAGGUUGUAUGGGUACUCCGAUGCUGACUGGGGAGGUUGUACCACUACUAGGAGAUCAACUACAAGUUAUAACAUCUACCUAGGUGCAAACUGUAUUUCUUCGACCUCCAAGAAAUAAUCCACAGUUGCUCGUUCAAGUGCUGAAGCUGAGUAUAGAGCACUUGCCUCCACUGCAUCAGAUUUGACAUAGAUCAUGUAUCUACUUUCAUGAUCUUGGGGUGUUUAUUCGAUCAGUACCUACAUUAUAUUGUGACAACAUGAGUGCUUUGUACAUGACAGUUAAUCCAGUUAUGCAUGCUAGAACUAAACAUGUUGAAAUGGACUAUCAUUUGGUUCAUGAGAAGGUUGUUAGAGGACAACUUGUUACUCAAUUUGUGAGGUCUAAGGAUCAGUUAGCAAAAUAUUCACACAAAAGUAUUAACCAAACAUGUUUUUGUUGAGUUUCAUCGCAAGCUAGGAGUUACAGUUCCUCCACUCACUAGCUUGAGGGGAAAUGUUGAAGGAUGCUGAUGGAACAGGACAAAGGAACAAUUUUGGUGAAGUUGUCUGAAAAGUUAGAGCUUGAGUAACACUAGUACUAGACUACUCAAUCCUAAUUUAUGUACAAGUCUAUACUUUGUACGACUUAAAUUGGUAUAGUUGACUAGGAUAAGGUGUACAUAAUAUAUUUGCGUUGUAUUAGGAUUCUUAGUGUAGAUAGUAAAGAACUCUUCCUCCUAUAAGGAAUAUGUAACUCAAUCAUUCAAUUAUCAAUACAAUCCUUGAUUCUUCACAUAUCUGUGAGAAUUCUACAUAACUCCAUAAUCACACCCCUAGAAUUGAGUUUUAGCCAAACAUCAUAAUGGAAAAGAAAUUAUACCAACUAUGUUUUUAGCCAUUGAAGUGUUGAUAAUCAUCAAUAAUCUUCAACAACCACUUUGAAUUGAACCCUCAAUUGUCAAUUACAAGUUUGUCCAAAACCCAAAAACUAAGAGAAAAAUAGAAAGGGUUUAUUUCUCAAUUUAAAAAAGCUAGAAUGCAUAAAAGAUACAUUUUCUCUAUCCUUUGGUUAUUUAUAAUUUUCCAAAAAUUGGUCCAAAAUUUCAUGCGCGACUGGAUCGAUGACUUAGUCGAGCUCCUCUAGCAUGAUCGGCAUAUCACCGUCCUAUUCUUCAGCUCGCCUUUUCUUGGCUACAUGCUUUAGUUGUUUUAAAUCCAGUUAUCGAACUCGAUUGAGUCAGCCUUUCAUGUUCGGCGAAUCAUCGUUAUCACCACUACUAUAAAACAGUGAAUACCCACCUAAAAUUAUCGACCUCAAAUAGAAGUCGAUAAUUUUCGAUCUCCGAAGGUCAGUAUUGUUAAAAAAGAAUAAAAAAAACUUUAGAAAAUCGACCACAACGAGUCAAUUUUUAUGAUAAAAUAGGAAUAUCAAAUACCGACCUCUAGAGAUUAAAAUUUUCUCUGAAAAAUGAAUUACCAUAAAAACUGGCCUCUUGAUGUCGGUAUUAAAUAAAUCAAUUAAUAACAAUAUUUUGUUUUCUUGGUUAAAUAUAAUAACACAAUUGAGAAGUAUUUUGAAUCAAUUUUAUUUAAAUCGUCUUUCAGCUUUCGAAAGUCGAUUAAAUUAAAUAGUAUGUAAUUAAAUUAAUUUUCAUUAAAAUAUUUAUAUAGUGGCUUCCAGAAAAUUAAUCAAUUAAUAUUUUCAAUUAACUUUAAAUAAAUCUUCUCCGGAUGACGGUUUUAUAUAAGUUCAAAAAUAAAUCAAUAUAAAAUACCGACUUUCUUAUGUUAGUAUUAUUUAACUAACAUUACUACUUCUUAUUUUUCUUAAUUUAAUCUAAUUUCUCUUAAUAAAAGUGAAAUUUGGAAGUCAGUUUGUUUAAAAUAUUUCUAUUAAUCAUAAUGUAGCUAUUGUGCAUAAUACCAAGGUAUCAUUUUUUGAAAUAGAUAAUAAGACAUCAUAAAGUACUAUACAAAACAAGUUCUAUCAAGAUUCUUACGUUUUGAUCUUGAAUGGAUGUCAAGUGUAGUGAUCAUAUUGUAGGCAAUGUCUUGUAAAAGGAUAAUUCAUCGGAAUAUGAAAUAUGUUGAUUAUAUACUCGUCGAGUAGUUUGACAAAAUCAAGUCUUAUAUAUUAAUGGUUCAGAUAUGAAAUAUAUUAUCAAAGAAAUACCAAUGAUCAAUUUAAAUAGAUUUAUAUAUUAAAUUUGAUAUUAAUAAACUUCAGUUGAUCAAUAAAAUUAAUUUAUGUGAUAAGGAGUUAUAUAUAUAUAUAUAUAUAUAUAUAUAUAUAUAUAUAUAUAUAUAUAUAUAUAUAUAUAUCCUCUUAUAUAUAAGCCAACAAGAAAAGGACCAACAAUGCAAUACUUAAUUGUACAUGCUCUGUCAGAUAUACUGUUGCUAAGUGCACUAUAAAGUUGGGCCUUUCUUUUAUCCUUUUAAUAGUAAACAUGAGUAUAACUCUUCCUUUUACAUGUGUACUGGUAAUUUUCUUUUCAUGAGAUAAAUUCAUUUCUCUUUCUUCCCUCAUUCAUAAAUAAAAAUAAAGAAACUGAUUCAUCUUCCUUCUUUCCUCUAGUAUCUCACCGGAUGUUAUCUUCAUUCUCCUCUCAAUCGAUAAUUUUCUUCCUCCAUCCUCUUAACUAAGAUUUUUAGAUGAAUGAUGAGUGUAUAUAACUUUUUUACAUGAUUUCUCUUUCUAGAAUUAUACAAUGUUCAUCUUAAUGAUUCUCAAAUCUAAUUCGUUCUUUUUCUAAUAUUGAGGAAUUUAUGUUCAAAUUCGAACUAUUAUAUUUUUUGAGGUUUUAAAAAAAUUUCUUUAUUAUUGAACUUUUAUUGUCUGUAAUGGUCAUUUGUUUUUCGGUCAUUUGUUAUACUUAUUCAUGUUUGGAUUUAGGUAGUGAGAUGCAAUUUUUAUGGAUGAUUUUGAAUCCAAACUCAAAGAUAAUGGACCAUUUUUAGAUAUUUUCUUCCAUUUCCUUUUCAGGUUAAGAGUUGGUUGGUGCAACAAUGGUGUUUGCUGAUAUGCUUGAACCAAAUAAAAGAUUUUUCAGUAUUUUUACUUGUAGAUUUUCUGCAAAAUAUUUCUCAAUCAAUUCUAACGAUUUUGAUUUUGUAUUUUUUUUCUUUGGCUUUUAAUGGUAUCUAAGUUGUUAUGAUAGAAGAUAAAUGAAGAUUAUUAUAGUACUUUUACAUAGUAAAAGAUACCUACUUUUCUAAUAAAACUUUUGUGUUUUAGUGAUUGAUUGAAAAAGCAUUGGCAUAUUUGAUGAGAGAAGAGGAAAAUUUAACAAAGAUAUUAGAGAUAUUGGAGUACAGACGUCACCCUUGACAAUGUUGGCUUCCUUCCCUUCAUAGCAAGGCGAUGAUGAGUCCAAUAUGGCUACCAAUUAACUGGAAAAAUAAAGGGCUCACCUGCUCAAAUUUACUAAUAAUGAGUUAAGGUAUCUAUAGAUUUUUAAAAUGAAUUUUAUUAUAGGCUACACGUCUAUGUUGCUUGAAGUUUGAACUCUUUAAAAAUGUCAUUAGUUUUGUGUUGGGUUCUAUAAAAGUAGAGUAUUUUUAGAGAAUUCAACAGGGUUCUCCAAAAGUAGAGUAUUUUUAGAGAAUUCAACAUCGAUGGUGCAUGAAAAGUGAAGAGUCCAUGCAACUUAGUGCAUAAGCUAUACACUGCUCUAUAAGAGACUAUUUAUUUCUAUUCUUAUGAAACAUACAGGGAGUAUUAACUUGAGUUUGUUGGUCAAUUUGAAAGACUUGUUGGUGCUAUUGCAAGAAGUAUGGAUGCAAUGUUCUGAAUGUCUGUCGAUAGUAAGUAGUAUUUUUGUAUUUUCAAUCUUUUUGUGCUAUUGAGUUGUAUAUAUACAUUUAUCUACAUUAUGUUUUUCAUCUUUGAACUGCAACAUCAAAGUAGUUCUUCUUUAUGUCGUGUGUAUUAUUUAUUAAAUGUAAGAAUUAUAAAGGACUAAUUUGAGGAAUUUUCAAUUGAUUAAAAUGAAACAAACAAAGGUGUCCUCCAAGCAGUAGCUGAAGAGAACACAUUUUCUUUUUCAGUUAAAUUUUUAAUUUACUAUUACUUAGAUAUGUAAUUUUUAGAAUUUAUUCUCUCCCUUAACUGAAAAUCCAUUAUAACAACCUAAUUUUUUCCUUGGCGGUCAUGACUUGUCAUAUGCUCUUUACUUCGAUAAAUGACAUAUUGGUGUGAAAUGAAAAUGUUGAUAGAUUACUAUUUGAAAGUGAAUAUAAUUAGGUAAGUUAAUUUUCAAAUUUUAGUCUUUAGACUAAUCAGACAUCUCUGAUUGAUUUCUUUAUACUGAUAUAUUUACAACUAAUUUGUAGCUUCGAUUUAAUUUUUAUGUUUUGACCAAACAUUUGGAAUGACAAUGUAAUAGGUUGCGCUAAUCAUAUGUUAAUCAAGUUAGGUCAAAAUCACAACAUAAGAAAUUUAGGAAGUCCUACAAUCUCCAAAAGUAAUGUCGUUAUAUGUUUGUCUAUUCAGCUCCUCACGAAUCAUAUAGACUUCUAUAUAUUCUAAUGAUUUCUUAUUUUAUUGAUUAUGCCUAAAUCAGAGAGUGAUCUUCAAAUUUUAAGAAUGAUCGCACACAAGUUUGUUGAAGGAGACACACACUGUGAGUAAUUUGAGCAAAUCACGUAUGCACACAAAUUCAGCUAAAAGUAGUGAGUACUUUUUCUUUUCUUUUUUCUUUUUUCUUUUUUGGCUGAGAAAUAUAUUAGUAGUAGUACUUCAGUCUGCUCAUAUUCUCCCCCAUUUGUUAUGCUUGGCUUUCUUUGUUCUUCAAUCUUUCAAACUGAAAUAUUUAUUGAUAGAUCACUAGUUCUUUGUAUUUAGUGUAGUUUUUUUAAUUCUUAAAGGUAAGGAGAAAGUUUAUAGUUAUGUUCCACCAUUUUAGCCCAUAAUAGUUAUUUGAGGAGGCAAAGCAUAAGUAAUGAAUUAGUGGUGAUUGAAUUGAUUAACAAGGAUAAUAAAAACUACUGCUAAUGUAUAAGUUUUCUAUAUUUUUUUGUUCUCUCUACUAACGUAUAAUUGAUGGUCCUGUUAUAUUCCAUUUACCUAUUUGUUCCAAAUUAAUAUGUUUCUUAUUUUAGUUUUGAUGAGUAAGCAAGUUAUCGACGACAUUGAGUUGGUUAGCAGUUUCAAUCCGAUAUGAGUAGAUUAGGAUAUGUUUAUGUGAAAUGCUCAUUUGGAUUUAUAGAUAUGCUUAUGUACUUGAAUUUUUUUAUUUAUGAUGUGGAGUUCUUAUUCUCUACCCGAAAUGAGUGAAAGUUAAAAUUUUCGUAUUUUCAUUGAUUUUUCUUGAAUUUCUUGUUUGUUCUUUUUCGGGUAUGGGUGAAUUAGAGCGGAGUGGUUGUAAAGGAUUAAUAUGUUUGACUUUACUGGUUUGGGGUAGAGUUUAGUUGAUUUAAUUGAUUGAUGGGUUUUUUGUGAGAUUUGCGCCAAGUAAUAAAAGAUGAUAAAGAGACCUUUUCUGAGUUUCGUGUCGACUAGUGAAAAGGUAAUUUGCGUUGUGUAGGUUAGGCACACUCGUGAAUUUGAAAGAAGACUUGGUGUUAAAGAGGAGAAAGGUGUGGUGUUUAAGUGGAGGAAUAUGUAGUAGGCGGGCACCUGGUUUAGAGAUUUAUUGGUGAUAAGAUGAGUUGGAUAAAGAAAACAUUAUUAUGGUAUGAUUUUUGAUCUUUUAAAGGGUGGGGGCAGGGGAGGGAUGGAGGUGGGGAGGACAAAGAAGCUAAAGUUUUGACCUUUUUAAACUUUGAUCGAGUUUUGUUGUAGGUUGUCCUAGAAAUGCUAUUACUAAGUAUAUGAAUUCAACAUGUAUAGUUUUACCUGUGUUGAAGAACUUCUC
rnacentral:lncRNA from 1 species